GCGGCCAGAUCUGCGUCUGUGUCCGGUGCCCCUGUCCGGCCCUUCCACCCUAGUUCUCUUCACCGUCCGCCCAUCCUGUCGCGCGCCGCGUCAGGUCCCCAUUCGGCAUGUGGCUUGUCUUCCAUCGUCCCCACCCUCGCCCCUCUUGGUCCCUCAGGGCAGCCCUGGGAUUCGGCAGACGCCAGUCCUCCCUGAGAUGCCUCCCCAUCCUUCCCUCCGCCAGGCCCUACGUCUUCGCAAACCCCCCGCUUCGGGGUGACCGCCUCAGACAGGACCCUGAGUCCGGGACUGGGGUAAGGGACCUGCCCGAUCCUGUAACAACCCGCGUGCUUCUGCACAAUUGCCUCCCACUAGCGGUGACUGUCGGGUGUUUACCUUCCCGGUGUCCCACUGAGAAGUGAGCUUUUCCUUGGCAGGGGCUUCUUCAUUGCCUCGCUGUGGAUGUCGAGAUUUGUCUUCUUAGUGCUUGGAUGGUGUGAGCGAAAACCCAGAUGAAUACAUUUGGUGGCUGAGCUACUACAAUGCCAUCACCGGAUUCCAUGACCUU
rnacentral:sRNA from 1 species